UCCUUGGUGGCUUAGACGGUAAAGAAUCUGCCUGCAAUGCAGGAGACCCGGUUUCUAUUUCUGGAUCAGGAA
rnacentral:tRNA from 1 species